UAAUCCAUUUCGAGUACUAGGCUACUCAGAGUUUCAACUAAAUCCACACAUAUAUCUCAUAUAUCAAAAUAGAUCUAGUCCAACAUGCAGAUCUAAUCUAAACAUACUUAAAAUUAAAUCUAAUCUAAAUAUUUUUAGAUCUGAUCACUACUUCAGAUCACAUCUGAAUCAGAUCUGAUCUUGAUUUAGAUCUAUGAUCUGUACAACUUAGUUCUGAUACCAGUUGAAGGAUCGGGUUGGUGCAUC
rnacentral:lncRNA from 1 species